rnacentral:sRNA from 1 species
UAGGCCACAUGAUUGUCACCUUAGUUGCCCGGGUUCUCAGUUUUGGCAAUUCUUGUGUCAACCCAUUUGCUCUUUACCUACUCAGUGAAAGCUUCAGGAGGCAUUUCAACAGCCAACUCUGCUGUGGGAGGAAGUCCUAUCAAGAGAGAGGAACCAGCUACCUACUCAGCUCUUCAGCGGCAUAGUCCUAAAGCUUUACAUUUACUAUCUAAUUUAAUCAUCAAUAUAAUCACUGAGGUGAACAAGAGAAGGAUCUAAUUUGGCAAGAUGGAUACCAGAUGUGUUCUUGAUCUAGAGAGACUGUUUCAUUAACUCACAGAAAAUGAAGGUGAAGACAAACAUGGCUGGUCUGUUAUUCUUUUUUACUUUCUUAUGUUAAGUAAUAAAAAAAAAUAAA